AGAGUUUGAUCCUGGCUCAGGACGAACGCUGGCGGCGCGCCUAACACAUGCAAGUCGAACGAGCGAGAGAGAGCUUGCUUUCUCGAGCGAGUGGCGAACGGGUGAGUAACGCGUGAGGAACCUGCCUCAAAGAGGGGGACAACAGUUGGAAACGACUGCUAAUACCGCAUAAGCCCACAGGUCGGCAUCGACCAGAGGGAAAAGGAGCAAUCCGCUUUGAGAUGGCCUCGCGUCCGAUUAGCUAGUUGGUGAGGUAACGGCCCACCAAGGCGACGAUCGGUAGCCGGACUGAGAGGUUGAACGGCCACAUUGGGACUGAGACACGGCCCAGACUCCUACGGGAGGCAGCAGUGGGGAAUAUUGCACAAUGGGGGAAACCCUGAUGCAGCGACGCCGCGUGGAGGAAGAAGGUCUUCGGAUUGUAAACUCCUGUUGUUGAGGAAGAUAAUGACGGUACUCAACAAGGAAGUGACGGCUAACUACGUGCCAGCAGCCGCGGUAAAACGUAGGUCACAAGCGUUGUCCGGAAUUACUGGGUGUAAAGGGAGCGCAGGCGGGAAGACAAGUUGGAAGUGAAAUCUAUGGGCUCAACCCAUAAACUGCUUUCAAAACUGUUUUUCUUGAGUAGUGCAGAGGUAGGCGGAAUUCCCGGUGUAGCGGUGGAAUGCGUAGAUAUCGGGAGGAACACCAGUGGCGAAGGCGGCCUACUGGGCACCAACUGACGCUGAGGCUCGAAAGUGUGGGUAGCAAACAGGAUUAGAUACCCUGGUAGUCCACACCGUAAACGAUGAUUACUAGGUGUUGGAGGAUUGACCCCUUCAGUGCCGCAGUUAACACAAUAAGUAAUCCACCUGGGGAGUACGACCGCAAGGUUGAAACUCAAAGGAAUUGACGGGGGCC
rnacentral:rRNA from 1 species